GCCAGCAUGGUGUAUUGGUUUGAAUGUUGGACUACAACUCUAGAGACCAGGGUUCAAAUCUCCAGUUGGCC